ensembl:lncRNA
CGGAGGGCGGGGCUAACGGAGGGCGGGGCUAACUUCCGCACCUUCCGGGGCAGAUCCCGCCAGCAGAGAGCAUCUAACCCAGGUGCGCACCGACACACUCGCACACACUCAAAUAGAACACCUCUCCAACCUGUCACUGUUUCUCGUAUUAAUAAUUUUUUUCCUAAAAAAUACCUUUGUGUGUACCCUGGAGGAGGGCGUGGCAACCUGCUCCUGAAUUCUUGCCUGGAGAACCCCAUGGGCAGAGGAGCCUGGCGGGCUGCAGUCCACGGAGUCGUGAAGAAUUGGAUACGACUGAGGCGACUUAACACACGCAGCACACCAACAGUGUUAAGAUUAGAAUCUUGAGAAAAACAAAGUUAUAAAUCACAAAAUAAGAGAACAGAAUAUAACCAGUGUUGGAAUAACGGCAGGGCUUGUGGGCACCAUGUGGCUGAGUCCUCCGAGCCCUGCUAGGAGAUGCUGCUAGAAGUCCAUUCUACCGACAGGAAGUGGGGUCCCAAGACAAAAGUCUCCAUGGUUACUGGAAAGUGAAAGUUUAAUCGCUCAGUUGUGUCUGACUCUUUGGGACCCCAUGGACUAGCCUGCCAGGCUUCUCUGUCCAUGGAAUUUUCCAGGCAAGAAUACUGGAGUGGGUUGCCAUUUCCUCCUCCAGGGGAUCUUCCUGACCCAGGGAUUGAACUCAGGUCUCUUGCAUUGCACGUGGAUUCCUUACCACCUGAGCCUUCAGGGAAGCCCAUAGUUACUGGAUGCCAGCUCCAAACCCAGUAGGUCCAUUGUAAAAGUCAGAACCAUCUAACUCUCCAGACACUCUGCAGAGAUGGACGCAGAAACUCAGACAACCACCAUGGCUAUUUUAUAGAAGCUGCUGGAGAAAUCGCUGCACCUGCUGGACAUUUCCUGUGGCUGAGAACUUUUCGAGUGGUCAUCAGCCAUCAGUCCCCACUUCUACCUUAUGCCGGGGGCCCAUCCACAUCCAGACCUGACUGAUCUGUCCUCUCUUCCUGCCUCAGCUGCCCAUUCCUCUGUCCAGCCACUCGGCUUUUGUCCAUUAAAUUAUUUGUGUAACUUUUUCAUGAGUCAUAACACCCCUGAGGCAAGUUGCCUGUGCUGGCAGUUCAUUUAUUAGAGUUGACUAGAGUUUAUAAGAGUUGUGCCGAUUUCAUGUGUAUUUUGGAAUGAUUUUGAACCAUUUUGUAGAAUCUCAUCUCCAAAUAAGCCACAUGAAAUUUUGAACGAGACCAUGUUGGAUGUGUUUUAUACACUUUAAUGAAAUCUUUAAAAAACCUUCAAAAGAUCUUGUGUGUUCUUUGUUGGACUAGUUUAUCUAAAAUGGGUUGUCAUUUUAGUAAAUUAUACUUCUUUUUAGGAUCAACAUUGUAGUUGGCUAUUGCUCCCACUGAGGCCCACAGCUAAGUGACGCUAAGUUGACCUUGCAUCUGAGAAGCCU